rnacentral:rRNA from 1 species
AGAGUUUGAUCAUGGCUCAGAUUGAACGCUGGCGGCAGGCUUAACACAUGCAAGUCGAGCGGGGGAAGGUAGCUUGCUACCGGACCUAGCGGCGGACGGGUGAGUAAUGCUUAGGAAUCUGCCUAUUAGUGGGGGACAACAUCUCGAAAGGGAUGCUAAUACCGCAUACGUCCUACGGGAGAAAGCAGGGGAUCUUCGGACCUUGCGCUAAUAGAUGAGCCUAAGUCGGAUUAGCUAGUUGGUGGGGUAAAGGCCUACCAAGGCGACGACCUGUAGCGGGUCUGAGAGGAUGAUCCGCCACACUGGGACUGAGACACGGCCCAGGCUCCUACGGGAGGCAGCAGUGGGGAAUAUUGGACAAUGGGGGGAACCCUGAUCCAGCCAUGCCGCGUGUGUGAAGAAGGCCUCAUGGUUGUAAAGCACUUUAAGCGAGGAGGAGGCUACUUUAGUUAAUACCUAGAGAUAGUGGACGUUACUCGCAGAAUAAGCACCGGCUAACUCUGUGCCAGCAGCCGCGGUAAUACAGAGGGUGCGAGCGUUAAUCGGAUUUACUGGGCGUAAAGCGUGCGUAGGCGGCUUAUUAAGUCGGAUGUGAAAUCCCCGAGCUUAACUUGGGAAUUGCAUUCGAUACUGGUGAGCUAGAGUAUGGGAGAGGAUGGUAGAAUUCCAGGUGUAGCGGUGAAAUGCGUAGAGAUCUGGAGGAAUACCGAUGGCGAAGGCAGCCAUCUGGCCUAAUACUGACGCUGAGGUACGAAAGCAUGGGGAGCAAACAGGAUUAGAUACCGUGGUAGUCCAUGCCGUAAACGAUGUCUACUAGCCGUUGGGGCCUUUGAGGCUUUAGUGGCGCAGCUAACGCGAUAAGUAGACCGCCUGGGGAGUACGGUCGCAAGACUAAAACUCAAAUGAAUUGACGGGGGCCCGCACAAGCGGUGGAGCAUGUGGUUUAAUUCGAUGCAACGCGAAGAACCUUACCUGGCCUUGACAUGCUAGAAACUUUCCAGAGAUGGAUUGGUGCCUUCGGGAAUCUAGAUACAGGUGCUGCAUGGCUGUCGUCAGCUCGUGUCGUGAGAUGUUGGGUUAAGUCCCGCAACGAGCGCAACCCUUUUCCUUACUUGCCAGCAUUUCGGAUGGGAACUUUAAGGAUACUGCCAGUGACAAACUGGAGGAAGGCGGGGACGACGUCAAGUCAUCAUGGCCCUUACGGCCAGGGCUACACACGUGCUACAAUGGUCGGUACAAAGGGUUGCUACACAGCGAUGUGAUGCUAAUCUCAAAAAGCCGAUCGUAGUCCGGAUUGGAGUCUGCAACUCGACUCCAUGAAGUCGGAAUCGCUAGUAAUCGCGGAUCAGAAUGCCGCGGUGAAUACGUUCCCGGGCCUUGUACACACCGCCCGUCACACCAUGGGAGCUUGUUGCACCAGAAGUAGCUAGCCUAACUGCAAAGAGGGCGGUUACCACGGUGUGGCCGAUGACUGGGGUGAAGUCGUAACAAGGUAGCC